UACGGAGGGUGCAAGCGUUGCUCGGAAUUAUUGGGCGUAAAGGGUAGGUAGGUGGUCUCGUUUGUCUGGGGUGAAAGCCUUGAGCUUAACUCAAGAAGUGCCCCAGAAACGGCGAGACUAGAGUAUUGGAGAGGGUCGUGGAAUUCCCGGUGUAGCGGUGAAAUGCGCAGAUAUCAGGAGGAACACCGGUGGCGAAGGCGGGUCUCUGGACAGUUCCUGACACUGAGGCACGAAGGCCAGGGGAGCAAACGGG
rnacentral:rRNA from 1 species